rnacentral:lncRNA from 10 species
AUCGCGAGAUCAGGAAGGUGGCCGAGUGUGUCGCCGCGGCCAUCAGGCACUUCUCCUUCCUGCCCUUGUAUGAAGAAGGAUGUGUUUGCUUCCCCUUGUGCCAUGAUUGUAAAUUUCCUGAGGCCUCCUCAGCCCUGCAGAACUGGCUAGAGCAAUGUAUCUUAGGCUCACUUAAGGAAGCUGUAGAGAUGAGCCCAAGGAGGGAAACCAGAAGAGCCCCCCAGGCUCACCAGUUGUUUGUUGGCUCCCUACAAACAUGUCAUUCAAGUGGCUAAUCUUACAACAGCACAAAUUCAUCUAACCAGAAAGAGAAGAGGAGGCUCCAAAGGCACUUGACUACUGAGCAUCACCCUGGACGUGUACAAGUCUGCGUCCUUAUUGUUUUCUUCAUUGGGCCGAACUUUCUGGUCCUCAUCCAACAGCUCUUCUAUCACGUGUUCGAAAGUGUCAGCCAAUGAUGUCAAGCCUCUUGAACCUGCCUUGGGCCCAUUCACGCUCUCCAGAGUCCCAUGGGUCCGCACACCUGGAGAUACUCUAUUAUAGCAAAGAAGAAAGAUAAUUUCAUUGAGCCAUCCUGUUUUACAGGAUUUUCCCUCCUGGUGAGUCAAAAUGAACAAGAAAUACCCCAGGACCUCCCUUCCCUCCUUGGCCAUUAAUGAGAUGAAGGCAAUUAACUCACAUAGUAUAAAUGAAUCAUUUGAGGUGAUGACUGCAUUUUAGGCAAAUGAUGACUUUCUUGGUUCCAUUGGUUUGCAAGUAAAAGUUACACACAUUGAAAAGACACUGAAACAGAUUUCCUAAAUGCUUCAUUUUCUGGAUGCACCAAUGUUGACCUACUAUACAUGUUAAAUGGUUUUAAAAUAUCACCUUAAAAUAAAGGAAACUUCCAGCUACUAACUCAGCUCUGAAUGGGCUAUGAAAGGCUCCAAAGGUAUGUGAAAAAUUACUGUUAUUUUGCUUUAAAAAAUGUGAUGUCUAAGAGUGUCUGCAAUGUUCUAAUGCUUCAAAACAUGUACGUAAGCCUUGUUUAUCUGGAAAUCAUUUCUUUCUGCUUAUAUCAUUUAUAAAUAGAAAAUGUUCUGUAAUAACUUAAAAUAGUUCCACAUACAUAAUGCUUUUAGUGUCAUAAUACUUACUACUGGUCUAUAUUUACCAACAUUUAUCACAUUUUACAAAAUGAAGUAGAAGAAAAAAAAGACAACGACUUUAUGGCCCUGGAAUUCCAGUAAUGGUGACCAACAUGUUUUAAAUUCCAGUAAAGGUUAUGGUUACAUUUCAACAA